rnacentral:sRNA from 6 species
AUAUCUCUCCGUACGGGAAGGAUGAGAAGCUUCGACUAAGGUUCGAUUCGAGCGCAGCGAGAACGCGUUGCCGCAGGCA